rnacentral:lncRNA from 1 species
ACCUCCAGCUUCCCCUUGGUAGACAGACAGACAGGCAGACAGACUGCUCUCCUCCCUGCUUGUCAAACUGUCUCCCCUGACUCCCACUUUAGGUUCACAGGUGUGUACCUGGGAAGUACGAGCCACUCCUCCUCUCAGCCUACGGUUUGACCCUCAUCCCCCCUCCCCCCCAGGCUGGUUUGGAUUUCUGUGUAGAGUCUCCUUGGAGAUAGAGACAACCCCUGGGGGCUUUGUCAUAGGGACCUGGGUCCAGCAAUGCCCCAAUAGAGACUUCCUGGAGAGCUGACCACCGAGGAGAAUUGGAAACACUAAAAGCUCCUGUGUGUUUUGCCCCAUGGGCUGUGAUGAAGCCCUGGGAGGGAGGUGGGAAGGACCGAAAUCAAGAUUGCCUUUAUGGAGGAGAGAAAGCUAAAGGUAGGUUCCAGGUGAGCUCUAAGCUCAGGGUUUUGGAGUCCGGGGCACACCCAUUCUUCCUUCUCUCUUCAUUUUCCUACCAAUGUUGAGACUGGAGCUCAGUUGCCAAAGGAACCAGAAAAGGAAGAAAUUGACGACGACUCUGGGGCUUGGGCCAGCAGAUACGGGACACAGGUGGCAGGUGGCUCUAAAUAACCCCUAUUCCUGCCUAUGAGGACAGGACUCAGAGCUCAGGAACCACUUGUGGCUGCCUAGGAGUUGGAUGCAUCUUAGAAGCCUCAUCCAGAUUCAGGGAAGAGGCGGUGAAACUUCCGACAUCGGUUUGGAAAUUGAUGAAUCUUCACUCGGCCACAUGAUCAAAAAGCAAGUUGGGAAAGAAAGGGUUUAUUUGGCUUACAGUUCCAGAGUUCACCAACCUAUUUUUUUUUUUUAACCCUCCCCAGAAGGAAAACAGUAAUACUGUCUUGGUGGAGGUGCAUCAGGAAUGGUAUAUGACUUCCACCCAGAAGGCGAGAGGAGCUGGCUUCUUGUCUGUUAUGUGCCGUCCCAGGUUCUGGCACACUAGAGCCAGGGCACCUGUGUGCAGGUCAGAGAACAAUUCGUGGGGGCCAGAGACGGAGCUCAGGUUAGAGACUGUGGCUUGCCACAGUACCCUUUCAUAGUUUGUGGUUUUGUUCCCAGCUCGGAAGCACUCUUUACCAUUUGUAAGAAGAAAGGACAUUCCAGGAAACCCUAAGCCAAAGUCCUGCCUGUCUGUUGGUGUACAGUGAUAAUAAAUAGUGGCAGCAACAACAACUAUUGUUAUUAUUUUGAGACAAGAUCUCAUGUAGUCCAGGCUGGUGUCAAACUUGAUUUGUAGCUGAGGAUGACCUUGAACUUCUUAUCAUUUGGCCUGCAGAGAUCAUAAGAGUAUAAUCUACACUGGUUUUAUGUGGUACUUGGGGUAGAACCCAGGCCCCUCAAAUACUAGGAAGUGCUGAGCUCUGCAGCCUCAAUCUGCAGUCCUACUAUUUGAUGGACACUUGAAUGCAUCAAGCAUGUGGUAGCCUGGUUUUGAGUGUUUUACAUAUUUGUAACUAAAAAAAAAUUAUUAUUAUUAUUAUUAUUUUUUUAAAAAAACAGGGCCUCACUAUGUAGUCCUGACUUGGAACUUACAGAGAGCUACUGGCCACACCUCUGGACUGCUGGGGUCAAAGGUCUACAUUAUUACAUCUGGCUCAUUUAAUUUUUUAAAGUUUAUUUUAUCUUAUGUGUAUGAAUAUUUUGCCUGUAUAUAUGUCUGUGCACUAAAUGCAUACAUUCCUAGGAAGACCAGAAGAGGGUGUUGGAUCCCCUGGGACUGGAGUUAUAGAUGGUUGUGAAUGGAUCAUCAAGUGGUUCUGAGAACUGAACCCUGUGGGAAUGAAACUCAGGGCUUUACUCCUGCAAGGCAAGCAGUCCAUCGCUGAACUGCACCCACCGCUGAACUGCACCCCACCACUGAACUGCACCCCACCGCUGAACUGCACCCCAUCACUGAACUGCACCCCACCAUUGAACUGCACCCCACCGCUGAACUGCACCCCACUGUUGAACUGCACCCCAUCACUGAACUGCACCCCACCACUGAACUGCACCCCACCGCUGAACUGCACCCACCGCUGAACUGCACCCCACCACUGAACUGCACCCACCGCUGAACUGCACCCCAAGCAGAGCUUGCUUUAUGGUGCAGCUGUGAUUACUGCGAUCACUGACUGUCGUUCCUGCCAGCGGGCUCCAUUUGGACAUCUAGAAUCAUCCCCGACAUGACUCAUCUUGAACCCCAAGCUUCUGCAGCAUUGUCUCUCUCAGUAGAUGACAACUGGAUUCCUCAGAAACUCAGGACAAAAAUCUUGGAGUCAUCUUGCUCUUUCUUUUUUUCUCUCACAUCCCAAAUAGAAUUCAUUAGGAAAUCCAUUCUCUCUCCCUGGAAUACAUUCAGAGUGUGGCCACUGUGGCCUUUGCCUGUGUCACCCUGACUGGACCCUCCACAUUGUCUUCUUGCUUCUAUCCAGUUUGAUCUGUGCUUUGCCUUCAACACAGCAUCCAGAAGGUUCUUGACACUUGAGUUAAGUCACGUUUGCUAAUGCUCUGACUUCCUGUCUUUUUGUUGAGACCUGAUGGCCUGUGAACUGCCUUCCCACACCUGUUCCUCUGCUUAUCUCCACCAUGUUGGUUGUUCUCAGAUGUGCCAAACACUUCUCUGUCUGAAGGACUUUCUACUACUGUUGCCUUUGCCGUAGCAAAAACAGAUUAUUUUUUUUCUCUUUAGAAAAUAAUUAAAUAAGAAUUUCUGUCCUGUUCUCCUCA